GUCUUACGUUAUAAUCAUUAAAAUUCUAGGGAUAUUUAAAAACUGCGAAAGAAAUAAGCAUUAGCUAGCAAAACAUAUAUCAUAAUUUCCUUUUUUUAUGAGAUAAUCGACAUGAAACUGUCUUGUAUGCACACCAAGCACCUAUUUCCAAGGACUUGCAAUGUUCAUUUUAUAUUGGUUCUAUUGUAUAUUACCACAGAAAAAAUUUUAAUGCUAGAAGUAAGCUAUUUGUAAAGAAAAUUUUGGAAUUAAGGGUUAUUUUUAUGAUAAAUUUCCCCAAAAACUUUAAAAAUAGCAAGGCAUGUGUUCUUUAAUAUUUUAUUUAUGCCAAAGAACAAUGUAUUUAGCAGAUCAAACACACAAAUUGAUGUUUUAACUUGAUUACUGAAGAAAAAAAUCAAGAAAUCUGCUGUUUUUAAUGGGAUUUUUUGUUUUUUUCAUAAUAUGCGACUUGUGGGUGAGGGAUCGUUGAAUGGCAUAAAACUUUCUUAUAUGCGCACCUACCCCCAAUUUUUUUUGGCUUAAAAUGUUAAGGUUAUGUGGGUCCACAUGUUUGCUAAGUUUAAAAAAAAGUUUAAUUCGGGAAGUUUAGUAUUUUUUUGGUAUUAGUUGGAAUUUGGGC
rnacentral:lncRNA from 1 species